ACUCAAAUGAAUUGACGGGGGCCCGCACAAGCAGCGGAGCGUGUGGUUUAAUUCGAUGCAACGCGAAGAACCUUACCCAGAUUUGACAUGGCCGCGAAAGCCCUGGAAACAGGGGCCCCGCAAGGCGCGGUCACAGAUGUUGCAUGGCUGUCGUCAGCUCGUGUCGUGAGAUGUUGGGUUAAGUCCCGCAACGAGCGCAACCCUCGUGGGCUGUUGCAAAUCAGCUCAGACUGCCGGUACAAGCCGGAGGAAGGUGGGGAUGAUGUCAAGUCCGCAUGGCUCUUACAUCUGGGGCUACACACACGCUACAAUGGUCGGGACAGUGGGCAGCCACGGGGCGACCCGGAGCGAAUCCCAAAACCCGGUCUCAGUUCGGAUGGCAGGCUGCAACUCGCCUGCCUGAAGUCGGAGUUGCUAGUAACCGCGUGUCAGCAUAGCGCGGUGAAUAUGUUCCCGGGCCUUGUACACACCGCCCGU
rnacentral:rRNA from 1 species